rnacentral:tmRNA from 2 species
GGGGAUGUAAAGGCUUCGACAUAUAUUAAUGCUAUUAAACUUCAGUGGUCUUGUAAACCUAAAUACUUCUAGGCUUUUUAAGCGCAGAACAAAAAAACCAAAAAGCAUCAUUUGUUAACCCAAUGAUGUUGUCAAAUCCAGUUUACGCAUACUAGUUAAAUUGGUCGAUUAGUAAAUAGCUCGGUUUACUAAAAUCGUUGAGAGCUUGGUAGUAAAAUUUUAACCGCCUUUACUAUGACAUUUAGGUUAAUCGGCAAAUAGAAUUUGUUAGUUAAUAUAUUUUGCUUAAAUCAUUAACUGAAUAAACUUGUAAACGUUUAAUAGCAGCGAUGUGUGGACCGGGGUUCGAUUCCCCGCAUCUCCACCA